rnacentral:tRNA from 1 species
GCAGUGGUGGUUCAGUGGUAGAACUCUUAACUUACACACAGGAGACCUGGGUACAUUCCUGACCAGUGCA